ACAAUGUCAAUUCAAUUGUCAAAUGUCCGGUGGAUCACCCGUGUUGCAAUUUGUGGAAAUAAUUUUCGCGCAGUAGCAAAGAGGAAUUUCUCUCUGCACUUUGACUUGAAGCUCACAUGUCAAGGCACCGAUGAAACGGUAAUGAGCUAGACGGAGAGUUUUGCCCAACGCCGGCCUCAAACAACUAACCAUGCCGACAGUUUAGCACCCUCCGACUGUGACAAAUUUCACAGGGAGCUUAUUUUUGUUCCUUUUCUCUCUCCUUUUUCUGCCUAUUGUGGUCACACCAAGUUUUAUAGUUUCAUUGUAGGAUUUGGCAUAAAUGGCAUUGGAGCUCAUACCUAUAGGAACCAUUUUGGCUGUGCUGACAAAUCAAGUCCUGAAAACAGCUCAGGCUGCAAAGGAUGUUCUAAUUGAGAAGGAGAGUUUCAAGGUUCUGUCCAAGCAUCUAUUUGAUAUUGAACCUGUGUUAAAGGAAUUGCAACUACAAAAAUUGAAUGAUUCUCAAGCUGCAAGACUAGCACUUGAAACACUUGAAGCAGAUGUCAAGAAGGCUAAUAACUUGGUUGAGGAAUAUAAAUAUUGAGCCCAUUUCUAUUUCUUGUUGAGAUGCAGGCACAUCGUCAAUGAGGUAUGGAAGUCACUAGGGAUAUUGGAAGGUCUUUGGCUGCAUUAUCCCUUGCAAAUACUGAAGUCCUUGCAGGGAUAUCUGACCAGGUGAAUAGGAUACAGAAUGAAAUGCAAAGGGUGGAAUUGGAAGCAUCAAUUUCUCAGCUUCAAAUUGUUGACAAGUUAAACCAGGGUCUUCACAAUCAGAAACUCAACCAGACUUUUGCAAAUGGCAUGCUUGAAGAAAUAGCCUGGGCAGUUGGGGUUCCAGUAGAACCUUCAGAGAUAAGCAAAGAACUAGCAAGAAUGCUAUUCAAAAUAAUCAUCUCUUCUUCCGGGACUAUUUGGGUGAAUAGAUCUGUAGUCACACCUUGUCUCUAUUGGUGAGGAUUCAGGAAUUCUUUGUAAAUGAAUACCUAAAAUACUCGUUGAUGUUUUGGCAAUAAAAUAUUUGUGCAGAUUAUAUA